UCAAUUUUGUUUGGCUAUUUAAGGGAACUCAGGACAUAUUAUUGAUAUUGAUUUGGAGAGGACAAAUAAAACUUACCUUGGGAUGUCUAGCAUUGUUGGGAGAAGUAGAAUGUAUCCAUGAGAAGAGUUGGAUUUGUUAAAAAAAAAGCCCAGAAUUUAUUCAAGUGAAUAAGAGUACUUCUGAAAGAACCGGAGGCACCUGUCAAAAUCAAUAAUACAUGAGUUGAGCACUACAGAGGAAGGCAGUAGACAACAUUCCUGCCAAAUCCAGAAGGAACAAGCAGCUGGAGUCAAACUUCCUCAACUUCAUCUCUGAGUUUCCAGCCAUCCUGGGAGGUAGUUGCUAUUGCCCCUGUUUUACAGAUGAGGACACUGAAGUAACUGGAGGUUAAGUGACUUGCCCAGGGUCACACAAUUGGUAAAUGUAUGAAGGAUGUCAGCAAUAAAUAUAACCAGGAACAGAAAGACAUGCUAAAGGCAGACAGAUUCAGAAAGACACAUUUGAUGAAAGCAGCAGCUUCAAGGAGCAAGACCUCUUAUGGCAGAGAGAUAGGUCAGCUGUGGACUCAUGAAAGCCACCCACCAAACUAA
rnacentral:lncRNA from 1 species